GGCAAGCAUCUCGGUCCGUCACCACCUGCUCUGACAGACUGAUGGCCGGUACUUCCGACGGAGGCGUGCCACGAAGGCGCUGCUAACUUUCAGGAAACUGAACAUCUUCGUGUGCAUUGUAUUUGCCAGCUUCAUUGGAGCAGACAGGAAGACGUUAUCACUUUUUGCUUUUUUUUAGCCUCAGAAAUACUAAGCAGGAGGGGGUUUGUUCUCUUUUUAAACAUGUACUCGUGUUAUGCAAAGCAAGCAAUUUACGUAUGUGUAUUAUUUUGGAUAAGUACAGCAGACCAUUCUGUGCAGCACAUUACUCCACUUUCCAAACUGCAUUCAUCACAGGGCUUGAUGUUUUCCUCUCAUUGCAUAUGCAGUCUUUUGACUUGACUGCUUACCUUCAUCUAGAUUCCAGAGAAGAUCCAUGACACUAGAACGGUGUUAUUGAAAGUUAUGAUUUCACUAACAGGGAAUGGAGGACAUUCCAGAAUACUGCUUGCAGCAGGAAGUCAGAGGAAUGACUGACCUGAUCUCAGCAGCGUAGGCUGUCUCCUUUUGAAGCUCGAAAGGCUUUGUUGAGCUUUAUAGUCAAAGAAAGAGACUUGUUUUAUCUUAAAACCUUGCAUGUUCUAGUAUGACUAGCAAGCUCAGUAGAGGUAUUCCUCAAAUACGUUUUUACUUGCAGCAUCAUAAUAAAAUUAUUUUGAAAUCUCACUUGUUCUUCUGUUGAGAAUUUCAUAUAGCUGUCUGAUGAUACACAUAGUAGGCAAUGUAUUUCUGGAUUCAAACUGAGUGAGUACUGCUAAACUCCAGACCUGCAGGUCCUGCCAGGAGGAUUCUAGUUCUCAUCAGAGUUUCUAUCCAGUCUGUCAUUAAACCUUGUGAUGGUAGGAAAGGACCUUUUCUCAGCAAAAGAGCAAUUUAUUGCUCAGCAAACAAAAGUCUUUCUUACAUGGAAAUCAUGGGCUCUUCCACAGCUCUGCUGAAUACUUGUUUUCAAUUACCAGAUGGAAGACUAGACAUUGAAAUAAGUACAACAGGAAUACAACAAUUUUUGUUCGCAGGUAGUACUUGGCCAUAGCCGUGGAAAGGGGUGAAGGCACAUGUACUUGGAGUUAUUACCAGCUGCUCUGCCAUAUCCAAAGUACUCUAUUCAGUGAAGUGAACAGUGGUUCAGAAGGACUGUAAGCAGGCAGAAAAAUGCCAGAUGUUGGGACUAGAAAGAGUGCAUUAGCUUCAGGUAAUUAGGAUAUACUUUACCAGGGCAGUAAUACUCAUUUAUCACAAUUUCAAGGCAGAGGAACCAUGAGUGUGAACUUUAUCCCAUACGUUGGUAUAUUGCUCUCCAUGAACUGGCCAAACCUUACUUCUUGGAGAAUGAAAGUUUGAGCCUAUGAGACACUGGACUCCUUUCAAGAAAGGCUUUGAACAAACCUGAUCAAAAGUUCAAGGUUUCAAUGACAAUAGGAAGUUUUAAGACUAGCAGCAUUUUUUAUGCAAAAGGUAGUUGCUACUCCUGUAACUGGGAACACUUUUUACCUUAGAAGUAGAUUUAGAUGUAUCUUUUGUUCACUUCUUGAAAUGAGGAAUGGUCUUCCAAUACUGUGUUGUGUGCCAGGACGGCAUAAAUGGCACUACUAGGUAUCUGGAAGGUAGCUGAUGAAAACAGAAUGUUGGCUUUUAUCUCACAUUAAAAAUAAGCUAGAAACCAGGGCAAGUCUUCAUGCUAGAAAAGUAAAGGGAUUUACAGUAUGUCAUGGCAGUGUGAGUUCCUCAACCAAAGGUGGGGGUGUUAUGUAUCAUCUGUGCUGUUCACCUGCAAUUUCUCAAUGAGAACUUCAAAACUGACACAACUUCUGUAUGACUGGUGAUUUUUAUGCUCUACAGAACAUUGUAACAUUCUUUAAGCUAAUAAAUGGAAUAAGAUUGUUAACUUAAAGGAACCUCAGAGAAAAUUCAAAGCCUCAAGUGCUGAGUUUACAUGGAAUGGAAGGUUUGGAAGAAAAAGGGAUGAGAGAAAAUGGAAAGAUCUGCAUCUUGGCCAAGGAAGAGCAAGCUGCAUGAAGCAGCUGCUGUUGGGAACAGCUUUCAAUCCUGGAGAGAAGCUACUUGCAGCAUAGGUUGCUUAUCUCCGAUGAAAAGCCUGUUCCAUCAGGCCAGCACCCCCGGAGGCAGCCGAAGAUUACCAGCCUGUCUGAAACUCUGGAGUCAGAACUGACCACAUGGAAGUUGCUUACGGUGAUCAAGGAACAGAUGGUGGAGUCUGCAGCUCAUCACUCUUCCCUAGUUACAGGCCAGCUUAAAGUGUGGUGUGAGGACUCCAAAAAAGCAAUGCAGGUCCUAGGUCCAUGACAGUGCAGGUCAGAGACAACAGCAUAGCUAAUGGCCAAAUUCCUUAUUCAACUUUAGACAACUUUCUGAUGAAGAUCAAUGAGGAAUCUUCAAGCUGAGGGAACCACAUCUACCUAAACGCCUGCUACAGUCCACAGAGUUGGAACAUGACGUGACUUUUCCUUCACAAUGAACUUGCCACCUCCAGUUUAGUACGUUACUUGGCUCCAGCUUUUACUACGCUUAGAAGUUAUAUGCUGGACUCCAGAAUUAAUCCAAGAGGGUUGCUGCUAUAUUGGAUCGGUUCUGAUGCUGGCCAAAGCAGGCGUUAUCCUGGAACUCACUUGCAGCAACAGACAGGAUAGAUGUCCUCCUCUGCAGUGUAAUUCACUUAGAUGUUAUUGGCAUAAAUGUUGUUCAGGUAUUACUCAGUUUAAUUAAAGGUCAUCCUCCUUAUCUGCCAGGAAUGGG